AUUGAACGCUGGCGGCAUGCUUUACACAUGCAAGUCGAACGGCAGCGCGGGCUUCGGCCUGGCGGCGAGUGGCGAACGGGUGAGUAAUACAUCGGAACGUGCCCAGUAGUGGGGGAUAGCUCGGCGAAAGCCGGAUUAAUACCGCAUACGACCUGAGGGUGAAAGCGGGGGAUCUUCGGACCUCGCGCUAUUGGAGCGGCCGAUGGCAGAUUAGCUAGUUGGUGGGGUAAAGGCCUACCAGGGCGACGAUCUGUAGCUGGUCUGAGAGGACGACCAGCCACACGGGGACUGAGACACGGCCCAGGCUCCUACGGGAGGCAGCAGUGGGGAAUGUUGGACAAUGGGCGAAAGCCUGAUCCAGCAAUGCCGCGUGUGUGAGGAAGGCCUUCGGGUUGUAAAGCACUUUUGGCGGGAACGAAAAGGACUGUGCCAAUACCACGGUUCGAUGACGGUACCCGCAGAAUAAGCACCGGCUAACUACGUG
rnacentral:rRNA from 1 species